rnacentral:lncRNA from 1 species
AGAUCACCCUCAGGAUUAUUUGCUCAAGAUCAAAAGAUUUAUGGAAAGCAGUGGAGUUUGCCUAAAAUAUAAGUUGACUACCCUUGACUAAACCUUGUAAAUAUAAACCUAAUGCAUACAUUUAAAAAACUUUUGCUCCUCUGGUCAUUGUUAACAUCUCUUGUCUUUGUCCUAAUUUGCUCAAAUGUAUCUUUUUACUCAAUACAACAUAAAGCUAUUAGUAUUCAUUAUGUAGUAGAUCCUAACAAAAUCAUAUCAUGUAUUAAAAUUUUCAUUAUAU